CUCUCAAAACACAAGUCAUUCGCAGAUCUACCCCAAGAUUUACACAUCGCACCCAUCGUGUACUCUGCCCUAGUUCUGCCGAUCGUUGCAGAAGAGAGCUUCCCCAAGAAGUGUUGUGAAGGCCCAAUCACAGCAGGUCCUUGCUAAUCCUUAGAACUUCUAGGGUUGAAAAGAAGGUUAUGACACCUAGUAAGCAAUGGAUGCCACUUGUUGAUAAUCAGCUCGAUGAAGCCUACUUAAUCGAUGCAACUAUGGACCUCAACUCGUAGCCAUGUAUUUGGCUUUGCGGUUGGAGCAAAGGCGAAAGACUUGAAAGGCUAGCAAAGCAUAACAAUAUCUUGGGACUAUAAUAUAUGAGAAGUAAUGAAGAACACACGUAGAAAGGUGGUCACUGGCCGGAACAUUGAAAUACUUAAAAUGAUGACUCUAACAGUAAUAAGUGGUGAGCAAAUCAAGUACUCAAUCUUUUUGUCUUUUUCACGGCAAAGGAACAGAUUGGUACAUAGGAAAUCCAUGCAAUGAAAAUGAAAAGACAGCUUAGGUAAUUUAUAAUCUUGUUCUCUGCACCAGCUUUUGCUGAGCUUGUUGACAAUGCUAUGGAUGAGGUUUGCAAUGGAGCUACCUAUGUCAAUGUAGAUGUGCUGGACAACAAGAAAGAUAAGGGUAAAAUGAUAUUAGUUGAAGAUAAUGGUGGUGGAAUGACUCCAGAUAAAAUGCGCUCAUGCAUGUCUCUUGGAUAUUCAGAAAAAAGCAAAUUAGCAAAUACUAUUGGCCAAUGUGAGUUUAUAUAUCUGUUGCAACAGCCAAACCAUCUCUGUUCUGUUAUUCGGGCGUGCUAAAAAGUUUUAUUGGAUCAAACUGUUUUCCAUAUGCAAUAAUUGCCUUAUUGUUUUGUAAUGUUUUGCAAGAUGUAAAUGGUUUCAAAACAAGUAGUAUGAGACUCGGGGCAGAUGUGAUCGUAUUCUCGCGUUGUCAGGGAAGGGACGGGAUAAGCGCAACACAAAGUGUUGGGAUGUUGUCAUAUACAUUUUUAAGGAGCAUAGGGAAAGAAGAUAUUGUUGUUCCUAUGAUACGACUUCCUAACUACUGCGAAGAACAUAUAUAUUCUUCUUGUUCGAAAAGUUUCAGUGAAGAUAGUUACAAUAUGAGAGGCACAUAAAGUAUUAAAUACGAUUUUUGUAUUUGGCAAUGUGAAGAUUGAAUUUGUCAAGAGAGAAGGAACAUGGGAGAUGUUGCUUUGAUCUUCAGCUGAUGAUUGGAAAAGAAAUUCAGACAUGAUAGCAUAAUGGUCUCCAUAUGAAAGUGAAGAGGAUCUCUUCCAGCAGAUUGAAGUUACAAGUCAAGAUGCAAGUUUGGAAGAUGCACAAGCUCAUAUUAUUUUGCUAGGAAUGUUAUGCAAAACUCAAUAUCAUAGUCUAGCUCGGGAUAUUAGCUAAGAUUUUUGUUAAGGUGUUAGAGCAAAUAUUGAAACUAACAUCAUAGAUCGUUAACCAUUUUAUUGUAA